CCUACGGGUGGCAGCAGUAGGGAAUUUUCGUCAAUGGGCGCAAGCCUGAUCCAGCAAUGCCGCGUGUACGAAGAAGGCCUUCGGGUCGUAAAGUACUUUUGGAGGGGACGAAGAGCGGAAAGAGAAUAUGCUUGCUGAUUGAUGUUACCCUCCGAAGAAGUAACGGCUAACUACGUGCCAGCAGCCGCGGUAAUACGGAGGGGGCAAGCGUUAACCGGAAUUAUUGGGCGUAAAGGGUGCGUAGGCGGCUUGGUAAGUCUGGUGUGAAAUGUACGGGCUCAACCUGGGAAAGGCAUUGGAAACUGGCGGGCUAGAGAGCAGGAGAGGGAGGUGGAAUUCCAGGUGUAGCGGUAAAAUGCGUAGAUAUAUGGAAGAACACCAGUGGCGAAGGCGGCCGCCUGGCCGGUUACUGACGCUGAGGUACGAAAGCGUGGGGAGCAAACAGGAUUAGAUACCCUGGUAGUC
rnacentral:rRNA from 1 species